CUCCUUUGGCCAAGUUGCCGUGUACAUGAGGGUUUGCCGACGAGUAGGCACCUCCUUCACAAUCUUCCUUAUCUGCGGCUCGAAACCCAUAUCCAGCAUUCUAUCAGCCUCGUCAAGAACAAGGUAUGAUAUCUGCCUGAGGCUUACUCUUCUCAUCUCGAGAAUAUCAUUUAAACGACCAGGAGUUGCAACAACAAUGUCAGUCCCUCUAUCUAGCUGGCCCAGUUGAGGACCCUUUGGUGCUCCUCCAUAUAAACACUACAAUAAAAAGCAUAGGCAAACAGUCAUUUACAUACACCUCUAACAAAAGUUAUCCGCAUGACAAUUAAGAGAAAAACCAAUAUCCUAAUUUCUAAACGCCAGAUACCAUAAAAUACAAAGUAGUUUAACGAACAAGUCACACAUAUAAAGGUAGCCCCACCAUAUUGCAUUAAUAAACAAGAAGAGCUAAGCAUAUAAAACAAGUUAGAACUAUGUAACUUAAAAAACGAAGAAAAAACAAUAGUGGCAUACCGUGCAUGUAAUUCUUGAUGACUUGCCAAACUUCAAAGCUUCAUCUUUAAUCUGUGUAGCCAAUUCUCUUGUAGGCGACAAUACCAGCACAGUUGGACCCAUUCUAGGGUCAUUACGAAGACGCUUGAGAUGAAGAAAGGCAGGAAUCAAGUAACCUAAGGUUUUACCAGAGCCUGUUUUGGCAACGGCCACAAUAUCUCUACUCUGCAGAACAACAGCCCAUGAUUGGGCCUGAAUUGGGGUUGGAGCAGUGAAACCAGCACUGUAUACCUUGAAAAGGGAAAAAAACCAAGCAAUUUCAUAAGCUCAGAUCUGGCUUCCAGAUUUUUUAUUCAACUUCUUUGAUAUCUAUAAUGGAGUGGCUAAUGACAGAAGAAGCACCAUCCUCCAUAUGCAGUCGUCAACGCUUGCUAACGCAAGCUCUUGCAGGAGGAGGCAUCUUCUUCCGUAUGGACCGAGUGGCAUGCUAUAUCAUCACCAAUGGCUGGACCAGCCACAAAAUUUAGGUGCUCAGAAAGCCCUUCUUCAGAAAGCCCUUCUCAAACAUGGUCCAGCAAAAUAAGGGCACUCCAAAUUACAAGGCCCCCCAAAGAAAAGGCAACACAGCGUACGACAUUAGCUCCACCAGGAGUAAAUAUCGCACCUGCGACAAAAGUACAUUGCAAGAUCAAGUAAAUAUCGCACCCUUAAGAAACCGCAACUUCAUAUUUUCAUCAACUUACAAACUCCAGGCCAGUGUUUAUUCUAUCAAGGCAGAAUGAAGAAGCUGAGCAGUAAAGUCAUACCUCUCUCAGUAGCUCAGAAGGAAAUCCGGUGUCUUCAAAAGACAUGAUUGGUGGUGGCACAUCACCCCCCUAGAAAGAAUCACAAGCUAAAUUCAGCAGCUUAGACAGGACUCAUGAAUCAUCUCAUUUAAGAUUGGGAUCCUUAGCCACAAAAAUAAUGCCCAUCCACAAAGAUCAAGAAAAGCAUUUACAAAAGAAACCCAUAUAGCAAUAAACACGUUAUACUGGCGGGAAUAAGCAUCACGAGUGCCUGCAUAUUUGUAAAUAUUCCAAACAAACGAAACUAAAAUGUCGUAGCCUUGUUAUUUAUGUUAUUCAUGAACAGAACCUCAGAUAAUCUUGUAAAAUGCUAAAUCAGAAACAUAAAGAAUAUGCAAUGAGGUCAUAUCGGUAUAAGACUAUAAAAAUCGGUUAGUAGAUCAAUGGAUGAAAUCAUAAGCUGCAAUGAUCUUCAACUCACAGUUGCAGUUAUUUCAUGCCGGCGCCUGUAAGCAUCAACUGAUAAACUGCUUCCUCCAGCAGAAUAUGCAGGUCCUCUAGCCGCAACUACCCCAGCUACACCAAUUGUUCCAUUUUGGACACUUCUUUCAUCCUGAGGUAUCAUAUAUGGCAUAGUAUCCACCAACAAGAAAGAAAUAAAUUAGCACAAAUGGCUGAUGGUCAUCCCCGUGAUGACAAUGGAUAGGACAUCAAGCAAGUAUGAGACAGCAGUCGUCGGAAGUUGAAUUAUGUAUAACGAAUUCCAUACAAUAUUUUGGUUUAAAUGAGUGACCUUACAGUAAUUGCUAAGAAAAAAGCAUAUAAAUUACAGAUUCGUCAAACCUAUAUUUUUAAAAGUCUAAAAGGGAAAAUCAUUCCUAGUAAAGGAAACCAAAACUUUUUAACAGCGUCCAGAUCAAUGCAAGUACAUUCUCAGCACAUGUCAGUGCAACAAAUAAUUUCUAAGGAAACAGGCAAACAGCUAAUAAAUAAACACAGACCUGGAUACUCCUUGUUUCAGUGUCAGUUUUUGUUAAUCCACCAUUGCUACUUCUCCCAUACCUAUCAUCUUCUUUGACAGGACUGUAGGCACGAUGAGCAGGUUGCUCCACUUGAACUGAGGAGUUGAUAGGCACGGUAGAUGACUUGGAUGGCAGAGACACCGCAGUAGGCCUCUCGUAUUGAGUGAUAUUAGUUUCUGGGUUCCAAAAGUAAAGGUAACCAGUUUUACCAUCAACCAAGCCUCUCCACGGCUUGGGAAGAGUAGGAUCCUCUGGUGCAAAUCUUGGAGCAGCGGUAGCAGCCAUGUUAACUGAGGCAAUUCGUUGAUCCUACACCCACAAGAAUGCCACCACAAACUGAUUAUCAAACUUGCAAAUUCAUGAGGGAUAAAAAAAGCAGCUAAUCUAGAGAUUGGCAGAUAGUAUGGCACAUAAUCUGCGAGCAGUGAUAUCCAAAAAAAUAAGUUAUCAAGACAACCAAAGGACUUUUUUCUAAAAUUCUAUUCUCAUAAGAGAAACCCCAACCAACAAAAGCCAAGUCAAAACAAAUUGGCACAUAAAGCCAAGUCAAAACAAAUUGGCACAUCUAUGGACACGACCUACACUGCAGCGUCUGAUUUAAUAUAUUUCUCGCUGAAACAAAACCUGCAACACCAAAUUCACAAUCGCGUUUGCAAGCCCAACAGGAAGAUCGAAACCCUAAGUUUCCAAGCUACACGGAUGACUGAAAGUGCAGAUCUAACGAAAUGACAUUUAGGGUUUUGGGAAUGCGAAAUAAGAAAAAAUAGCGUAUGAAAAUGGAAGCAGACGGUCGUUGUACCUGAAGACGGCGACUGGUGGGAGAUUCAGCGACAAGAGGCUAUAUAAGUGAGGUGGAGCGGGAAUUGCUCUCGUUCGGUCGUUCUCCAACUCCCUCUUUCUACCUUUCUCCGCCGCUGAUGCGCAGAGCGUAGGAGGAAAAGGAGCGUAGAGGAAGAUGGAGGGUUAGGCCGCAGCUGCAAAUUCUGAUACUUAUAAAACCGAGUUAUCCACUUUAAUAGUUCCAUAAGUUUUGUCUGAAAUACCCCCAAGCCGUAUUUUUAGUCAUAUUGGACGGAGUGAAAAUUCCGUCCAACUCACCAAUAACAAUUUUCGUCCAAUUUUAAUGGUUUACGUCACCUACCACGCAACGCAUAGACACAAUCAUUACUCGUCAAAAUAAAAAUUAAAAAUUAAAUAAAAAAACCCUCUCCCUCAUCCCCUCUCCGGAUGAUGAAGUUAGAAUCUGACUUCAGGGACUUGCGGAUAAUCACUCUUACCGGUCAACAAUGUAUACUAGCUAGCGAAACAACAAUCUUUUGAAGGAACCUCACAAAUUUAGAUUUAAACCACGAAUCGUGGAUCAUAAAAUUGGAUGAUGACUUUGAGGAUUGACGAGAAAAAUUUAAGAUUUUCAGUUGCCCAUGAUGUCUUUGUUUCAUUGUGGAUAAUGGCAUGUCAUUAGAGAUCUUAUAUGUACAAAGUUUUUUCUUUUAAAAUAGAAACUUAUAAAGGGUACAUGGAUGUUUUUAUAUACGGGAUUGGAGCAAUAUAGAUGUUAGGCAUAACAACAUAUGCAUUGUGUCGGGUUCCCAAUACGUAUGAGAGAGAAUACUAAAGUCGUCACUCUACUAACAAACAUAUUACUGUGGACCUUAAGUAGAUAUGAACAUGUUUUUUGAACUAUUGUUGAAAUUUACUUAUUACCGAUGACAAGAGCAAUUCAAUAGAACACGUCACACUAUGAGUUAUAUCAUAUUGAUUUUGUCUGAUAAAUUAGGAAUACGAUUGCUAAUGCAUUAGUUUGCCAUCGUUUUCGCUCCUGUUAAAAAUAAAUGUCAUCAUUAAUUCAAAAUCAUGAUCUACAACCAAAAUAUAUGGAUAUUCAAGAUCACCCAAUAUCUAGCUAUUCGAGAUAUCUCCGUGUUUUGGAGUUUGAAUAGCUAGCUAUUCGAUGAUAUUGAAUAUCGCAAUAUUGUGAUGUUCAAUAUUCACUUAUAUGGGGUAGGGUGAUGUUGAUAAAUAUCACCCCAAUAUCUUUUUGAUGGACAUAAUUGCCCCUUAAGGCAAUGUAAUAGUUACAAGCAAGUGAGGGCUAUAAUGGUAAUUUUCUAUUAAAUAUCACCUAUAUAUCUUUUCGAUUGACAUAAUUGCCUCCAAGACAAUUUAAUAGUUACAAACAAAUGAGAGCUACAAUGCUAAUUUUCUCAAUCCUCAUUAUUACAAACUAGGAUCCACACCACAUCUAAUCAUUCUUAAACCCCACCAUCCAAUAUCUUACACCAAACAAAAAUAUUCGUACUUUUUGAAUUCAAUAUCAAUCUCACCCAAUAUCAUGAUAUUUCAAAUAGCUAGUUAUUCGAAAUAUCAUAUACCAAACGAGUCCUAAGAAUGUUGGUUAACGAUGUAGCUGACGGAAAAUGACUGUAGGAUGAACGUGUUUCAUUUUUACAACAUAUGAGAUGGUUUUUGCUGAUUUUCACAGUAAUGAGAUGUUUUGGUACAGAAGAAAAACAUAGAGGACUACUAAGGCUAAUCACCCUUCCUCUGUGAGAUGCCAGCUGGAAUCUGCUGAGUGAGAUUCCAUUCUGAUUUCUGCGGCGACAAACUUUCGAACGAUUCCUUUUCAGGUCCACACAUCCAAUUAGGGAGGAAGAAGAAAAAUUGGGUUUGGCUUACCACGUUUGCAUGCUGGAACCCCAACCAAAAUGGGGAAAUUUUGUAGGCAAAAUGUAAUCUGUGGGAAGAUAUAUUCAACACAGGACCUUCUAAGGUUAGUCCAUCGAUGAAACUCAGGCGAUACAGCAGCAGCAUUGUUCUGCCCCAGCGUCAUCAUUCCUCCGAGAUAUUGGAACCUGCCAAUGGCAAUUUUCAUACUUUAGAAUUCUAGCAUGAGAUUUUUCCCCUUCGACGUGUUUCAGUCAGCUUCUGCAUGACUCACUACUGUUCGAUAAUGUUAACUGACAACUAGAAAAGUAUAAGAAUGUCAAAGUUGUCGACAAACGAACGUUACGUCUCUAGCUAAACAGUCACGCAUCGAACGUGACGUCUCUAAGACGCCUAAACAAUGUCAAUUCUCGAGUUAAUAUAUGGUAAGUUUGCAACGUAUGUGUUUGACCAACCUAAAUGGCAGUGAUGGAAGGUCAUUAAUGGCAGCCCAAAUGUUACAACCAGUAAAAUCCGCUUGCUGAAAUGCAACCUGAAAGGACGCAUAACCAAGUGCAGUAUGGAUCAGGGCGGACUAACGUAGAUACAGAUGGAAGAAUAACAUUUACAUCUCAACAAAGACUGGAAAAAUACCUGAGCAGUUGGCGGAAGAACCUUCCCUUUCAAAUCACUCAGUGCAGAGGAGUCACCAAGAGCGAAUAUCCGAGGAUGACCCUUGACACGGAGGGUCUCGUCUGUCUCGGAUUGUCCCCGAGCGUUUGGGGGGGGGGGGGGGGGGGGGGGGUAAUGCCCCAAAAAAAAGGCUACAGUCCAUAAAACCAAAUCAGUUUCGAUGAUUUGACCUUGUGUUCCCAGUUCCCCUCUCAGCAGGUUGGAGUUCCAAACUAUAUUUCUCAUAAUCUGAGUCCGUUACUCUCCUACAGAGCGGACAAAGUAACCCGAAAGCAACUCAACUUUCCUGGAAGAAAGAACCUAGUUCGACCACAAAACUAUGUUAGAUAAACAGGUUCAGUUUCAGGAACCAAGGUUAACAGGUACUAACGCUUGUGUAUAACCUACGCUUAUUGUUAAGAAAGACAGUCCAAAAAUGAAAAUGGUCUCACAUGAUAACUUCAACUAAAGAAAAUUAAGUAGUUCAUCGUUUCAUGCACUUGACUUUGCCAUUAAAUACGAAAAGCGCAUACACUAGCAUCCUAAAGAAAACUUUAUCGCGAUCAGAUUCAACAAUUGACAAUGAAACUAUCACCUAAUGGCAUCCAGUUAUCUCAUUGCAGUCGUAUAAUGCUGAAAAGGAGUGCGUCAACACCCUUAGACAACACAAUCACAGAAAUCUAACCUUAAGUGCAGCUUCCCUGUUGCCAGGUGGUGCAGUUGGGCAGAUCAUCAUAUUCUCCACAUUAAUAGCACGUACAACAAUGCAUACACUUAUUUGAAAGCAAGUCCGCAAAGCAUGGAGCAAUUUCCCAAGAAUCCACUUCUGCAUUGAUACUAGAAUUUUCAGUCGACUGCCGAGUGAAACCCAAUCCCGGAAUCAAUAUGCUCAACAAAACCAAGAAUGAAUAUGAAAGAGACGAAACCUAUUACCUCCUGUAAGAAUCUCAUACAACAUAGGCUUAAAGACAAAACGCUCAGCUUGAUCAACAAGAAGCACCUGAUUCACAAAAUCAAAAAAUUGAGGAUGUCAGAGCAUCAAACAACAAGAGUCUUAGGCAGAAAUUUACAGAUACUGAUCCAAGACAAUACCACUGUACCCAGACCCACAAUGCCAGCAUAACAUCAUCCUAAUCAUGCACCACGAAUUUUAUUGCAUUUUCGAAUGCAACCGAUAAACAAAGAGACGAACUUAAUACAUCUAAAAUGGUCAAAGUAGAAAGAUUUUAAUAGCUGAACUAGGGUACAUGGAAAGCAAAUAGUGAGGGACGAGCAAGAUUGGUAGUAAGCUUUGAAUAAUUUAUUUAAUGAGAUACAGGCUAUGCAGCAUAGAAAAACAGCAAACACGAUAUAAUCGUGGUCUAGACAUUACUCGAAAUGCAUUAUGCUUAAAUAACCAAACACAUACUAAAUUAGUUCUACAUUAUUACUUCCAACUCAACAUUGUAUUUAUAAGUGAUUACCUGAGGUUUCUUAUCAUCUGGCCAUACAAGCGAUUCUAGUCUCAAAGCAAUAUAUAAGCCUCCAAAUCCACCACCUAAUAUGCACACCCUCGGAUUCUGCAACAUUACAAGCAAGAGUUUUCUGUUGCUAAAAGUGGAAUGAUCGCCGAGUAGCAAAGUUGAACUUAAUCCAUCCAAAUAAUCACCAACCAUAAAACUAACAUUGACAUGAUUUGUAUCAAUACGAAAAGUUUCAGACACAACCAAAAGCUAUAGGAAAUGUGAUUACUAGAAACAAUUCUGGUGGAAAGCCAUCAAAAACAGAAAACUGCAAGUGAUAAUAGCUGCUGCAUCUUGGGAGAUUUGAAAACCUCACCUUCUUGUAAGGCCAAGUGUAGACCCGUGGAGGCUUCUCUUCUACAGGUGGAUUGGGAGUAGCUGCUGCAUCGAACAUGGGAACACGUGAAGCAAUAAUUGAAGGUCCUAAAUGGAGUUGGAGCCGAGGAAAAUGGGAACAAUUUUCCCCUUCACAUGCCUGAUCAACGAAAAAUGAUUGCAAUACUCAAGACAUGCAUCAGAAAGUAAAAUAAAGGCCAUGGAAGCAACCAAAACGGAAAAGAACCGACAAUCAGCAUCUUGAGUUAAGCUAAACUCUGUACGUAGAAAUGACGGCACACGCGGAUUCUUAAUUCCAAUUUUCUCAGUAAGAAAUUAUAACCAACCUGAAGAAGUAGACAAGCAAUGAACGGGUUAUAUGACUACUAGUCGCGGAAUUCGAAUUGUCAAGGCGACGAGAAUUAGAAGAAGAUAGAGAGUGUGUGAACGACGACGAGGAACUCCGGAUACUGGCACAUUGAGCCACUGCCGCCGGAAAUGAGACGGUCUUCAUGUUACAGUGAUAGCUCAGAGAGAGAGAGUAGGGUGUAAUCAGAGCGACGAUAAAUGAAGGAUAGAAGAACAAGUGAAGUGAGCUACUAACUUCUCCCGUUUGGCGGACUUCACGUUCUGGUGUACAGCGAGCUUCUUGGUUACUUGGAGCUGGUUCAUUUAUUAGCUCCGACACCCGAACUCUGGACAUUAGUGCUGAGCCACCGAACGCAAAUCCUCUAUAUGCCGAUAUAUCCCUUGUUGUCAUGUACUUGGAGAUUGUUCCUGGAUGUUUAGUGCUCGAGUCCGGAACGGGGAGUGGAUCCUGGACAACUUCGCUUGCUAGGGCUGUAGCUCCGACUGGACAAGUGUACACAUUUGAUUACCAUGAACAAAGAGCUGCCUCAGCUAGGUGAGUCUAUGUGUGUUCUUGCUUUUCUGAUUGCAUUGAGAAACAAACUUGUUCUUCGAUUGGCGGAUAGAUUAGCUGUAAGACUGUUGAAUUCACUUGAUAUUCUGUUCGUUUAGUAGCUUACCUCAUUGCACUAGAUUGAUGUCGAAAUGACUGUAGAAUUCAACAGAAUGGUUGAUGCUUAAGCUUUCGGUCUACUAAGAUCUUCAUGCCCUUUUGAAAUGACACGCUGUGAUUUUCUUGAUCAGGGAAGAUUUUGAGAAGACAGGAAUCAGCAGCUUAGUGACAGUCGGAGUGAGGGACAUUCAGGGACAAGGGUUCCCAGAAGAGCAUGCGGGAUUAGCCGAUGCGGUGUUUCUGGAUCUACCGCAGCCGUGGCUAGCUAUUCCUUCAGCAGAGAAAAUGCUGAAACAAGACGCUGUACUGUGCUCUUUCUCGCCAUGCAUUGAACAAGUACAACGCAGUUGCGAAACCCUUAGAUCAAACUUUACUGGUAAAUGUGGUUGGCUCCAUUCUUUCUAUGCCUGAUUGUCAAUUGACACUUCAAUUUUUUAAGAUUGCUAAAACGUGCCUUGGUUGUGUUGGAAGAUAUAAGGACAUUUCAGAUAUUGGCGAGGAUGUAAUGUAUGAAGUUCGAGAAGGCAAAGUGGAGAGCUUCCAAGGAGGAGAUGGAAACAUGUCGAUGGGCAGUCGUCCGGGGAAGAGGAAGCAGCCUUCGAGUGAAAGAGCCGGUUCGCAAGACGAUAGUAGUACUCUUCCAGUUCUGGCGAAACCCUGUUCUGAGACCAACUGUGAAAGAAAUUUCAUAGCAACGACGGACUAUUAUUCAAUCUUAGAGCAGCGCCGCCGACAUAAACAGUGAUUAUAAGUUACGACUAACAUUGUCAUAUGUCCAAGGCAACACAACACAAUUGUUAGAAAAUAGAGAUAACACAAAAGUUGGAAGUAAAUACAGACAAAGAGUUAUGAUAUUGAUACCAACUACUCAGUACAUGCACACCGAUUUAGUUUUUAUAACCUUGACAUAAUUAACUAUUUCUGUUUUUCUUACUAUUGCACCCUUCCUACCAAAGUAAACACUUUAACAAAGGGAAGUAAGUGCCCUCCAAAAAAUUGCAUUUACCAUAAUGCUUUCAAGUUCUGGUUCCUCCUGGUUAGUUGCCAUGCUAUCUACUAAUAUAUAGCCCCAAAAGACCAUGCCUUUUCUAUUACUUACUCCUUCCUCUCUGCCUCCCCAAAAUAAGGUCUUGUCAUCCUCACCUACGAUCCAUCAUUGCCCGGUGAAAACUGCGAGGAGGGGAACCUCCUCCUCCUCGAGCUGGCCCAGGGCUGCGGCUGCGAUCACGCUUCUCGCUUUUGAAACGAUCGCUCCAGCUAGACCCUCCGCCGCCACCUCCACCAUAUCCAUCACUAGCACCACCCCGAUCAUACCUGAGUAAUCAAAUUGGAGGAGUUAGUCACAGUCAGUUCAGUCAACGUUCAGAAUGAAUUAAAUUCUAAAAGGAAAUUUAAGCACAUUGUGGGUACCUAUCAUUGCUGUCUUGGCCAUAGCCACGGCCACCACCCCAACUGCCUACGCCCCUUCCGCCACCACUGGAACCGAAACUGCCGCCACCAUUGGAACCGUAACUGCCACCACUGGAACCGAAACCACCACGACCUGCACCGUCGCCAUUGCCCCAUCGUCUACUUCUACCCAUUCCACCACCUCGAGAAGCCAUGUCGCGAAUUUCAGGAGGAACCUUCUGGCUUGCACCCUCUAAGAGUUUAACGAGUUCUGUAGCAUGUUUGGCAUCCUGCUCUCCAAAGAAUGUAUAAGCUACACCAGUGGCACCGGCUCUUCCAGUUCUGCCAAUCCUAUGAACGUAAUCCUCCACACCAGUAGGAAAGUCGUAGUUGACUACGGCCCUGUCAGAAGAAAAACAACAACCAAACUGCGUGGGUUACUUCCAUUCAAAAAGAAGCAAGGUUAAAUUUAUGUCGGGGCUAAACAAAAUGGAUAACAUGGCAAAUCUGAAUCAUAUACAUCCAAUUACAGCUACAAUUUUCCCAUAGACUCAUGUCGCCUUCAGAUCAUAUAAAAAAGUACCCUGCAGCAAUGUCUGGUAAAAACAGUUAACAAGUGGACUUCCACAAAAAGGGUGUCUACCAAAUGUUUUCUCAUUCACACUCUAAUCAACUCCCCCGAAAUAAACCAUUGUUAACAGGCAAAGUUAAAGCAAAAACUUAGCACACAGCAAAAUGAAAAAGCAACCCACCUUAUGUCCUUUACAUCCAAACCACGGGCAGCAACAUCAGUAGCUACUAGCAGAGGAGCCCUCCCAGACCGAAACUGACUCAGAACAUGAUCCCUCUCACUCUGUGACUUGUCUCCAUGAAUAGCAGCAGCUCCAAACCGGCUGAGGUUACGAGCAAGUAUGUCACACAUUUUUUUGGUUGAACAGAAGAUUAUAACCUUUGAUCCUGGUUCCUGAGAGCGCAGUAUCUGUUCCAGCCGUUUGUGUUUCUCCAUAGGUGGAACGACCUCAACAUACUGCAAGAGUUGGAUAGUGAUCCACACAAGAUUUAAAUAUAUCAGCAUAAAGUUUACAACGAUACAAUGCACAAGUUAGAAGAAAUGCACUGAAUCUACAACAGAAAUGACAAUUUUUUUAGCUUGACUUACCUGGGUGAUAGACUUGUUAGCCACAAGCUCAUCAACAUUUCCAAUAUUAACUUGAACAGGAUUGACCAAAAGAUCAGAAGCAAUUUUCCGGACCUCCUUUGGCCAAGUUGCCGUAUACAUGAGGGUUUGCCGACGAGUAGGCACCUCCUUCACAAUCUUCCUUAUCUGCGGCUCGAAACCCAUAUCCAGCAUUCUAUCAGCCUCGUCAAGAACAAGGUAUGAUAUCUGCCCAAGGCUUACUCUUCUCAUCUCGAGAAUAUCAUUUAAACGACCAGGAGUUGCAACAACAAUGUCAGUCCCUCUAUCUAGCUGGCCCAGUUGAGGACCCUUUGGUGCUC
rnacentral:lncRNA from 1 species